AUUGAACGCUGGCGGCAGGCCUAACACAUGCAAGUCGAGCGGAUGAAGGGAGCUUGCUCCUGGAUUCAGCGGCGGACGGGUGAGUAAUGCCUAGGAAUCUGCCUGGUAGUGGGGGAUAACGUCCGGAAACGGGCGCUAAUACCGCAUACGUCCUGAGGGAGAAAGUGGGGGAUCUUCGGACCUCACGCUCUCAGAUGAGCCUAGGUCGGAUUAGCUAGUUGGUGGGGUAAAGGCCUACCAAGGCGACGAUCCGUAACUGGACUGAGAGGAUGAUCAGUCACACUGGAACUGAGACACGGUCAAGACGCCUACGGGAGGCAGCAGUGGGGAAUAUUAGACAAUGGGCGAAAGCCUGAUCCAGCCAGGCCGCGUGUGUGAAGAAGGUCUUCGGAUUGUAAAGCACGUUAAGUUGGGAGGAAGGGCAGUAAGUUAAUACCUUGCUGUUUUGAUGGUACCAACAGAAUAAGCACCGGCUAACUUCGUG
rnacentral:rRNA from 1 species